UGUAAGAAGUGGUUAUAUUUUAAACAGCAUAUAAAUAUAAACCACUGUAAAUAGGUCAGGAGCCAGACAGGGAGUCUAAGAAGGAGUUCAUUAUUUAGUCUAUAUUAUUAUUCAUCUAUUAUUCCAAGGCUAUAGCUUAUACAUAUAUAAACCACUGUAAAUAGGUCAGGAGCCAGACAGGGAGUCUAAGAAGGAGUUCAUUAUUUAGUCUAUAUUAUUAUUCAUCUAUUAUUCCAAGGCUAUAGCUUAUACAUAUAUAAACCACUGUAAAUAGGUCAGGAGCCAGACAGGGAGUCUAAGAAGGAGUUCAUUAUUUAGCCUAUAUUAUUAUUCAUCUAUUAUUCCAAGGCUAUAGCUUAUACAUAUAUAAACCACUGUAAAUAGGUCAGGAGCCAGACAGGGAGUCUAAGAAGGAGUUCAUUAUUUAGCCUAUAUUAUUAUUCAUCUAUUAUUCCAAGGCUAUAGCUUAUACAUAUAUAAACCACUGUAAAUAGGUCAGGAGCCAGACAGGGAGUCUAAGAAGGAGUUCAUUAUUUAGCCUAUAUUAUUAUUCAUCUAUUAUUCCAAGGCUAUAGCUUAUACAUAUAUAAACCACUGUAAAUAGGUCAGGAGCCAGACAGGGAGUCUAAGAAGGAGUUCAUUAUUUAGCCUAUAUUAUUAUUCAUCUAUUAUUCCAAGGCUAUAGCUUAUACAUAUAUAAACCACUGUAAAUAGGUCAGGAGCCAGACAGGGAGUCUAAGAAGGAGUUCAUUAUUUAGCCUAUAUUAUUAUUCAUCUAUUAUUCCAAGGCUAUAGCUUAUACAUAUAUAAACCACUGUAAAUAGGUCAGGAGCCAGACAGGGAGUCUAAGAAGGAGUUCAUUAUUUAGUCUAUAUUAUUAUUCAUCUAUUAUUCCAAGGCUAUAGCUUAUACAUAUAUAAACCACUGUAAAUAGGUCAGGAGCCAGACAGGGAGUCUAAGAAGGAGUUCAUUAUUUAGUCUAUAUUAUUAUUCAUCUAUUAUUCCAAGGCUAUAGCUUAUACAUAUAUAAACCACUGUAAAUAGGUCAGGAGCCAGACAGGGAGUCUAAGAAGGAGUUCAUUAUUUAGUCUAUAUUAUUAUUCAUCUAUUAUUCCAAGGCUAUAGCUUAUACAUAUAUAAACCACUGUAAAUAGGUCAGGAGCCAGACAGGGAGUCUAAGAAGGAGUUCAUUAUUUAGCCUAUAUUAUUAUUCAUCUAUUAUUCCAAGGCUAUAGCUUAUACAUAUAUAAACCACUGUAAAUAGGUCAGGAGCCAGACAGGGAGUCUAAGAAGGAGUUCAUUAUUUAGCCUAUAUUAUUAUUCAUCUAUUAUUCCAAGGCUAUAGCUUAUACAUAUAUAAACCACUGUAAAUAGGUCAGGAGCCAGACAGGGAGUCUAAGAAGGAGUUCAUUAUUUAGUCUAUAUUAUUAUUCAUCUAUUAUUCCAAGGCUUAUAAAGAAAUGCGGUGUGACGCCUUUGCGAGAGCGACACACUAGGCU